rnacentral:tRNA from 1 species
GCUGGUGGCACAGUGGUUAAGCGUUCGGCUGCUAACCGAAAGCUCGGUGGUUCAAACCCACCAUCCGCU